AAGGUAGCAAAAUCAUUAGACUUUUUAUUGAAGUCGAGCAUGAAAGGAGGAAUAAAAGAGUUUUUUUAUAGGGCUUUAUUUUGAAUUUGUUUUCUUUUUGAAAACUUUUAAGUGAGUUAAGUAAGACAAAAAGACCCAUAGAUUUUUAAAUGACAGUUUAAAUUGGUUGUUUUUUAAAUAGAAUGUUUUAAGUUUCUUUUUUGCUUGGGGCAAGAUUUUAUUUUAACAUAAUUAUAUUUUUUUUGUAAAUUUAAAUUUUAAAUUAGAAAAAAUACCUAAGGGAUAACAGCGUAAAAUUUUUUUCUUAGUGCUUAUAUAUAAAAUGUUUUGCGACCUCGAUGUUGGUUUGUUAAUUCUUUUUGAUGCAGAAGGUAAAAAAGAUAGUCUGUUCGACUAUUAAACUAACACAUGAACUGAGUUCAAGUCGGUGAGAGCCAGA
rnacentral:rRNA from 1 species